CUCUACGGCCAUACCACCCUGAACGCAUCUGAUCUCAUCAGAAGCCAGGAAGAAAAGUACAGGAGGGCCGAAGCAAGUGGAUGCUGAGU
rnacentral:rRNA from 1 species